UUACGGCCCUAUCGAAGCUGUGUUUCAUAGCUAAACUGCAGUAACAUGGUCAAAGUGAGGCCUAAAGCAAAUCCUACAAUGGUCACUGGUUAACUUUUCAUUAAAUAGAUCUCUCAGUAUUACCCAAGUAGGAAACAUAA